rnacentral:rRNA from 1 species
AGUGAACGCUGGCGGCGUGCUUAACACAUGCAAGUCGAACGAGAACGGAUUAUAGCUUGCUAUAAUUGUCAGCUAAGGGGCGCACGGGUGAAUAAUGUAUAGGUAAUAUGCCUCUUACUAAGGGAUAACAAAUGGAAACGUUUGCUAAUACCUUAUACUCCUUAUUAACAGAAGUUAAUAAGGGAAAGAUUUAUUGGUAAGAGAUUAGCCUGUAUUGUAUCAGUUAGUUGGUGGGGUAAUGGCUUACCAAGACUAUGACACAUAACUGGUUUGAGAGGAUGAUCAGUCACACUGGAACUGAGACACGGUCCAGACUCCUACGGGAGGCAGCAGUGGGGAAUAUUGCACAAUGGACGAAAGUCUGAUGCAGCAACGCCGCGUGGAGGAUGACACAUUUCGGUGCGUAAACUCCUUUUAUAUGAGAAGAUAAUGACGGUAUUAUAUGAAUAAGCACCGGCUAACUCCGUGCCAGCCGCCGCCGUAAUAC